rnacentral:rRNA from 1 species
UACGGAGGUUGCAAGCGUUGUUCGGAAUAACUGGGCGUAAAGGGGGCGCAGGCGGCUUAUUAAGUCUGAAGUGAAAGUCCGGGGCUUAACCUCGGAAGGCCUUUGGAUACUGGUAAGCUAGAGUACGGAAGAGGAGAGUGGAAUUCCAGGUGUAGCGGUGAAAUGCGUAGAUAUCUGGAGGAACACCGGUGGCGAAAGCGGCUCUCUGGUCCGAUACUGACGCUCAGGCCCGAAAGCGUGGGGAGCAAACAGG